rnacentral:rRNA from 1 species
UACGGGGGGGGCAAGCGUUGUUCGGAAUUACUGGGCGUAAAGGGUUUGUAGGUGGCCAACUAAGCCAGACGUGAAAUCCCUCAGCUCAACUGGGGAACUGCGUCUGAGACUGGCAGGCUUGAGUGCAGGAGAGGAACGCGGAAUUCCAGGUGUAGCGGUGAAAUGCGUAGAUAUCUGGAGGAACACCGGUGGCGAAGGCGGCGUUCUGGACUGUUACUGACACUGAGGAACGAAAGCCAGGGGAGCAAACGGG